CCUGGUUGAUCCUGCCAGUAGUUAUAUGCUUGUUUCAAGGGCUAAGCCAUGCAAGUCUGAGAAUAACCGACCUCAUAGGAAGUCUGCGAACGGCUCAUUAAAUCAGCAAUAAUCUACCCACACCAGUGGCUCACGCCACCACCGGAUAACCGCUCUAAAUGAGCUGCUAAUACGUGUACGAAGAAGGCGGUCUCUAUCAAGCCCUGAGGGGGAAACCCUGAGGGGUGGAGGCCGUCUGCCGUUCGCCGUCACAAAAGCGGACGCAGGCUAGCCCUGCAGCUUUAUUGAUGACUCAGGCGAACCUGGUGAAAGCGCAUGGCUCGACCAGCGCGGGUGUGGACGAAUUUCUGCCCUAUCACGCUAGAUGGUAGUGUAGUGGACUACCAUGGCUUUAACGGGUAACGGAGGAUCAGGGUUCGAUCCCGGAGAGGGAGCCUGAGAAACGGCUACCACGACUAAGGUCGGCAGCAGGCACGCAAAUUACCCAAUGGCAACAUUGCCGAGGUAGCGACGAGAAAUAGCAACUCUGCUUAUCUUUCGAUAUGUGGAGAUUGCAAUGGACGAUAUUCAAACCCAGCGCUGAGUAUCAAUUGGAGGGCAAGUCUGGUGCCAGCAGCCGCGGUAAUUCCAGCUCCAAUAGCGUAUGCUAAUAUUGCUGCUGUUAAAACGCUCGUAGUUCGAUUCAGAGUCUUUCGGCUGGGCAGUGCCCACUGGACCAGUGCUGUGGAGCCAUUUGGCACCCGCGGUCUGGUACGGUGGGGGUAAACUCUGCCCAUACGGCCGGGGCUCUUCUACCCGGAACUGAGUGGCCUGCGGAAACCCCCUUCACUGGGCGGCGGAAGCAAACCACGCGGCUAGCAACCGCUGGUGGCCCGUCCGGGGAUGUUACUGUGAACAAAACAGCGUGUCCAAAGCAUGCUCCCGCAUGAAUGAUCGAGCAUGGAACAACAAGGGAUCGACCCUAGUGGUCUAUAUUAUUGUCCGUUUCUAAGACCACUGUGGAGUAAUGCAGGGCAGAUACUCCGGCGGCGCCUGGUGCUUCGGCCUCUGGCUGUCGCAUUACGGCAUCGCUCGGAUUCUGUCUCUAACGGGAUCAAUAGGAACCAACGGGGAGGGACUGAUUGAGGCGCUAGCGGUGAAAUGCUCAGACCGUCUCAAGAAGACCAACAGCGAAAGCAUUCCUCAAGAAUGUUCUCAUUAAUCAAGAACGUGAGUGUGGGGAUCGAAGAUGAUUAGAUACCGUCGUAGUCCACUACUGUAAACGCUGCCGAUUCGGAAUCGGGAGAGGCUCCCUCUCUGCGACCGUUUCGGGGCCUCCCCUUUGCUACCGAGAAAUCCAAAUUGAUGGGUUCAGGGGGGAGUACAGCAGCAAGGCUGAAACUUAAAGGAAUUGACGGAAUGACACCACAAGGCGUGGAGUAUGCGGCUUAAUUUGACUCAACACGGGAAAUCUCACCAGGUCAGGACACUUUAAGGAUUGACAGAUUGAGAGCUCUUUCUUGAUCAAGUGGAUGGUGGUGCAUGGCCGUUCCUGGUUGGUGGAUUGAUCUGUCUGCUUAAUUGCGAUAACGAACGAGACCUCUACCUCUUAAUAGUUGCGGCUGCGUUGUACCCAUGCUUCGGGUGGCUUCGGUCGCCCAGGGCGCGGGGAGCACGCCGUGGACUUCUUAGGGGGACUGUGUACGCUUUAGUGCACGGAAGAUGGAGGCAAUAGCAGGUCUGUGAUGCUCCUAGAUGUUCUGGGCUGCACGCGCACUACACUGAUGGCACAAACGAGCACUCCCUUUUUGGGUCCUGGUUCGAAAGGACUGGGAAAUCUCCUGAAAGGCCAUCGUGACUGGGAUAGAUGAUUGCAACUAUUUGCCCUGAACGAGGAAUGCCUAGUACAGACAAUUCAUCAGAUUGUCUGGAUUACGUCCCUGUCAUUUGUACACACCGCCCGUCGUUGCUACCGAUGGUUGUCGAAUAGAGGCGUUGGGAGGCUGUCCUCUGGUACGGCCAAACCUCACCGAUAUUUGACUACUAGAGGAAGCAAAAGUCGUAACAAGGUUGCUGUAGGUGAACCUGCAGAAGGAUCAA
rnacentral:rRNA from 1 species